CGCAGGGCGGUGGAGGAGCCCUCUAAGAGUCCGUGCAAGAGGGCCGCGGCCCAGCUAGAAGGGUCUGCAGGGGGCAAGGUGUGGCGGAGCGGGCUUCAGGCGCAGGUUUUGCUUGCUUUCACCACGCCCCAGGUCUAGCUCACGGCCUGCACCUGGGAUGUUGGGGCUGUGCAGAGGCGCCGUGGGUGGGGACCAGGCCCCCUUUUAGAUAGGGAGGGGAGGAGCAGGGCCCCGGCUGCGGGGAGUUGGGAGAGAAGCCAAAGCGUCUCCCCCCUCCCUCUGUUCCUGCUUUCUCAGGAUGUCUGAGAUGCCCAGCGUGGGUGAGUGCACCCUCCCUCCCUGGCUCUGCUCCUCCCCCUCCCCGGAACCACCACCCCCUCAGCCCUGAGCUGCCGAUGCCCUCGGGGUUCUGUUUUCAUUCCAGGCUGUGGAUCCGGUCGUGGGAAGCAGGGCCGCACACAUACAGAGCUGAACUUGUAUCGCCGUGUAGAUGAAGACAAACACCUUUAGGAGAUGGCAGAGAAACAAAAUGGGAAACCCUCAGGUCUCCAAAUGACUACACCAAGCAGAAUUGCCCCACCAGCCUGCACCAUUCAUUUCUAGACUAUGAGCAAGAAGUACACUUCCAUCUUAUUUAAACAACCAUAUUUGGGGUUUUUGUUGUUGUUAUUGUUGUUGUUAUAGGAGCUUAGCUUUUACUCUAAGAAAUACAGCUACUCAACUCACUUCAUUAGGAUCUUAACUAUAAUAUCAAAACCUCCUAAGCACAGAAUAAAAAAUACAGUAGAGCAAUAUCAUUUAUGAUCAUAGAUGCAGAGCUUCCAAAUGAAAUACUAGCAUAUUCAAGGAAAGAUAUAUAUACCAUGACCUAGUUGUGUUUAAUUUCUGGAAUUCAAAAAUGGAAUGUUUGACAUAAGAAAAUCUAUUAGGCCGGGCGCGGUGGCUCACGCCUGUAAUCCCAGCACUUUGGGAGGCCGAGGCAGGCAGAUCACGAGGUCAGGAGAUCGAGAUCAUCCUGGCUAAUACGGUGAAACCCCGUUUCUACUAAAAAAUACAAAAAAAAAAUAUUAGCUGGGAGUGGUGGCGGGCGCCUGUAGUCCCAGCUACUUGGGAGGCUGAGGCAGGAGAAUGGCGUGAACCCGGGAGGCAGAGCUUACAGUGAGCUGAGAUCGUGCCACUGCACUCCAGCCUGGGUGACAGAGCGAGACUCUGUCUCAAAAAAAAAAAAAAAAAGAAAAAAGAAAACAGUUUGGCAGUUCCUCAAAAAGUUAAACAUAGGAUGUUUGAAAAUUUAAACGUAAUAUGACCUAGCAAUUCAACCCCAGGUAUACAACCAAGAGAAUUGAAAACAGGUGUUCAAACAAAAACUUGUACAGGAUUGCUCAUAGCAGCAUUAUUUAUAAUAGCCAAAAGGAAGAAACUACUCAAAUGUCCAUCAGCUGAUGAAUGGAUAAACAAAAUAUGGUGUAUUUCUACAAUGGACUAUUAUUCAAUCAUAAAAAAUGAAAUGCUGAUAAAUGCCAAAAUUGACGAACUUUUAAAACAUGCUAAGUGGCUGGGUGGGGUGGCUCUAGUCCGUAAUCCCGGCAUGUUAAGAGGCCGAGGUGGGCGGGUCACUUGAGCCUGGGAGGUCGAGGCUGCAGAGAGCUGAGAUCGCGCUACUGCACUCUAGCCUGGGUGACAGAGCAGACCCUGUCUCAGAAAGAAAAGAAAAAACAGAAAAGAGAAAGAAGACA
rnacentral:lncRNA from 10 species